rnacentral:rRNA from 1 species
UACGUAGGGUGCGAGCGUUAAUCGGAAUUACUGGGCGUAAAGCGUGCGCAGGCGGUUCGUUGUGUCGGCGGUGAAAGCCCCGGGCUUAACCUGGGAAUGGCCGUCGAAACUGGCGAACUGGAGUGUGGCAGAGGGGGGUAGAAUUCCACGUGUAGCAGUGAAAUGCGUAGAGAUGUGGAGGAAUACCGAUGGCGAAGGCAGCCCCCUGGGCCAAUACUGACGCUCAUGCACGAAAGCGUGGGGAGCAAACAGG